UGUAAGUUUUCAAAAUACCAACAUUAUAACAUCCCCAAAAAUCAACAAAAAACGUUGGUUAAUCAGAUAUACCACCUAGUUCGAUGUGAAUAUCUUCCCAAGCUCCUUGUCAAUGGUCUCCAUCUUCUCUUGCACCGUCUCCACUGCAUCCUUGAGAUAUGAGUAAACCAAGUGAUCAGCAGAUGCUUGAUCCUUCAUGAGCUUUAUGCCGUUGUCCCUCAACGAAAAUUUUGGUUCUUCUAGUAGUUUCCCCCAGACUUCCUGGUUCAUCUUCUGUUGUUAUAAGACCUUCCUCUGCGCAUCAAAAAUACUGUUAGUAGAAUUUACAUCAGACGCAAGCUCUGUCAACGUGCGGCUGGAGAGGAGCUCCUUGAUGGCUUUGCUUGCCGGAUCAGUAGACAUUCUUGUUUCUUGAUGAGAGUUGUUAUUUUUUUGCAAAAAUCUAAUAUGGGGAAUCAUAUAUGUAUGAAGAUUGUGAUUUCAUAUAGUAGUUGUGGGAGAUUUGGUAUGAGUGUUUAUCUCAAAAAGAGAAUCGAGGAACAAAUUGCUGAAGAUAAGUCUUGUAAUGACUUGUUGGAAACUAAAAUUUAUAGGGUCAGAGAGAACAUGAAGAGGUAAGGAGAUUUUAAAUUUGUUGUCUGGUAUGAAAGAGUCAAGUGUCCGAGAGGUGGCUAUGAUGUUUAUGGUUGAUCUAGGAGAGCGGGAUGAGAAACAGUUAAAGGAGCUUGCGGAUGCAAUAACCGUCUUAAGAUGCUCUAUGGACAUGAAGAUCAAGUUUUUGGAGUCCUUUUUCUGAUGGGUAUUAUGUAUCAUUUUCAUAUGGGUAGUGAAAUCAUGUGUUUUUUAUGUUUGUCUAAGUGUUUUUCUUGUAUCGAAAUUGUGUUUGAAUAAGGAAAUUUUCCCAUUGUUUUUA